rnacentral:rRNA from 1 species
UACGUAGGGGGCAAGCGUUGUCCGGAAUUAUUGGGCGUAAAGAGCGCGUAGGCGGUCCGAUAAGUCGGCUGUGAAAGUCAUGGGCUCAACCCAUGAAAGCCGGCCGAUACUGUCGGACUAGAGUCCGGAAGAGGAGAGUGGAAUUCCCGGUGUAGCGGUGAAAUGCGCAGAUAUCGGGAGGAACACCAAUGGCGAAGGCAGCUCGCUGGGACGGUACUGACGCUGAGGAGCGAAAGCAUGGGGAGCAAACAGG